GAUGAACGCUGGCGGCGUGCCUAAUACAUGCAAGUCGAGCGAACGGACGAGAAGCUUGCUUCUCUGAUGUUAGCGGCGGACGGGUGAGUAACACGUGGAUAACCUACCUAUAAGACUGGGAUAACUUCGAGAAACCGUAGCUAAUACCGGAUAAUAUUUUGAACCGCAUGGUUCAAAAGUGAAAGACGGUCUUGCUGUCAUUUAUAGAUGGAUCCGCGCUGCAUUAGCUAGUUGGUAAGGUAACGGCUUACCAAGGCAACGAUGCAUAGCCGACCUGAGAGGGUGAUCGGCCACACUGGAACUGAGACACGGUCCAGACUCCUACGGGAGGCAGCAGUAGGGAAUCUUCCGCAAUGGGCGAAAGCCUGACGGAGCAACGCCGCGUGAGUGAUGAAGGUCUUCGGAUCGUAAAACUCUGUUAUUAGGGAAGAACAUAUGUGUAAGUAACUGUGCACAUCUUGACGGUACCUAAUCAGAAAGCCACGGCUAACUACGUG
rnacentral:rRNA from 1 species